CGGCACGGGUAAGUAACACGUAUCCAACCUGCCGUCUACUCUUGGACAGCCUUCUGAAAGGAAGAUUAAUACAAGAUGGCAUCAUGAGUCCGCAUGUUCACAUGAUUAAAGGUAUUCCGGUAGACGAUGGGGAUGCGUUCCAUUAGAUAGUAGGCGGGGUAACGGCCCACCUAGUCUUCGAUGGAUAGGGGUUCUGAGAGGAAGGUCCCCCACAUUGGAACUGAGACACGGUCCAA
rnacentral:rRNA from 1 species